GGUUGCGAUCAUACCAGCAAUA
rnacentral:rRNA from 2 species